rnacentral:rRNA from 1 species
UACAGAGGGUGCAAGCGUUGUUCGGAAUUAUUGGGCGUAAAGCGCGUGUAGGCGGCUUUGCAAGUCGGGUGUGAAAGCCCUCAGCUCAACUGAGGAAGUGCGCCCGAAACUGCAGAGCUUGAGUACCGGAGAGGAUGGCGGAAUUCCCCAAGUAGAGGUGAAAUUCGUAGAUAUUGGGAAGAACACCGGUGGCGAAGGCGGCUCUCUGGACCGAGACUGACGCUGAGGCGCGAAAGCGUGGGGAGCAAACAGG